UACGUAGGCAGCGAGCGUUGUUCGGAGUUACUGGGCGUAAAGAGUGCGUAGGCGGUUUUCUAAGUUUGGUGUGAAAUCUCCCGGCUCAACUGGGAGGGUGCGCCGAAGACUGGAAGGCUUGAGUAUGGGAGAGGUAAGCGGAAUUCCUGGUGUAGCGGUGAAAUGCGCAGAUAUCAGGAGGAACACCGGUGGCGAAGGCGGUUCUCUGGGCAUUACCUGACGCUGAGGAGCGAAAGUGUGGGGAGCGAACAGG
rnacentral:rRNA from 1 species